CAUGAUUUACUUUAUAAACAAACCGUGAACUUUAUUAUAUACUAUUCUUGUAGGGAUUAUUUUAUAAUCUUUUACAACGUCAUUCGAUGAACAUUAGAUAGCUGGCUCGUUUAUUUAUAAACUUUCUCAGCUGAUUUGUUUGUUAGACUAAACAUCUAUUCAAUCAAUCAACCAAACAUAGAAA
rnacentral:misc_RNA from 1 species